rnacentral:lncRNA from 1 species
GCAAGAUUCAGCAAUAGAAACCACUCAGUGUCCUUGGUGAAUGAUUUGAUCCUGGCCAUCAGAACCUUUACUUCAGCCAGCAAUAAACUCUUAGAAACAGAAGCUUCGAGGUAUGUACUCCUGUUCUGCACGAACAAGUUUUCUGGUUGAACAUGCUGAACCUCUUAAAAAAUUCAGAACAAGUUUUCUCAGAGUUUACAAAGGGAUUUCAAUCACAUGAAGAGAGGAAAACACACUGAGUCGUAACAGUGACAUCAAAAUACUUUUGAAGUUGACUGAAAAUGUGGUUGCUUUUGUUUGAGAAUGGCAAAUUAAAGAAUUGGAUAUUGGGUUCUUAUCUCAGAAGAAACAAAGGAGGAGACCCUGAAAAACUGAACAUGAAGAGGAAGAAGUGGAGUUAUGCAACUCUUCAUAAGGCUGGUUCCACCACCGGUCAGAAGAAUGAAAAUUGCAGAUACCUAUUCUGUGUGUUUCUCUCCAGAAUGGUGGAUGUUAGAGACCCUACUAAGGAUUUGUGGACUCACUAACGUAGUCUCUAAAAGGAAUGCACUUGGUAAAUAGGAGUUCAAUAACUGUUUGUUGAAGAAAGAAAAGAACUAUGGUGGGUCAGAUGAGAGACAAAAAUCACUCUGCAGAGAUACAGCAUGCAGGAGACCACCUCUGAGACUGAGGCAAGAGUGUGCCUGAAAUGCCAGGGGUUCGAUCUAGGUCCUGCUGUUCCCUGACACAGAAAGCCAAUGACUGACACAAUGAGUAUUGCCAAAGAAGAAGGCUUUCAUCGAGUGCUGCAGCCAAGGAAAUGGAAGAUCAGUUUCAAAUCCAUCUCCCUGAACAACUAAAAAUAGAGGUUUCUACAGCAGGGAAGAAAUGUGACUAUGCAUGGGAAAACAGGAAUUAGGGAGGGGUCAUGAGGCAAUCAUGAUGAAUGAGGGGUCUGACAUCCCAUUGGCUGGAUGUGGUUACAUGAUGAGUUUCUGUUCUUUGACACUUUUUGAAAGGCCUGAGGGCCCUUUCCUUACAAAGAAACUCAGAUAAAACCAAUGUGAGUUUCAAGCUUUAAGACCAGAAGAGUCCAUUUCUAUGUUACUAUAGGAAAAGAAAAAAACUGCCUAUGGGACUAUUGGGUUGGUUUCAAGAGGUUAUCUGAAAGGCAAGGCGGCCUCCAUAACUGCUUAUUUUCUUUUCUUUUGAAACUGUCAUUGUCUUCCCAACAUCUAGGCUUAUGAUCAUAUGGGUAAGCUUAGAUCAUACAUUCUGUCUACUCUACCCAGACCAGAAUCAUACAAUCAAAGACAUACAGAGUCAACUAGGUAAUAUAAGUGAGCAGAGUUGGACUGGAGUAAGGUCCAUGGAGGACUGCAACUAAACGGGUACAUCUUGUCUGGAGUUGGACUAAAUCAUUGUGAAGCUUUAAGUCAGAUUUUCUUAGUGUGUUAUUUAUACACCCUCCUGGCAUAUGAGUGACAGGAAAGUCAAAGUCAUUGACUCUCUAAUAUUUAUUGAGCACCUUCAAAUACUUUUUGAGUAUCUACUAUUAUUGGGCACCUACAAACACUUAUUGACCAUGUGCCAAGCACAGUGCCUAGCAAGUUCUUCUUUUCUAAUCAAAUCAACAGGUUGGACAUCCCUACCCAAGGCUCAAAUGGUAACAGGUCCAUGCCUUACUUGUGUCAGUUCUCUUAUUGAAAGAGCAUCUCCUAACCAUCCUACCAAUAAGGUUUACUUAUACUAAGAUUUUCUUCUGCCUCUGCCAACCCUGAGACAGCAAGACCAAUUCCUCCUCUCCCCUGUCCUCCUCCUCGCCUACUCCACAUGAAGACAACGAGGAUGAAGACCUUCAUGAUGAUCCAUUUCCACUUAAUGAACAGUUUGGAAAAUACUCAUCUUUGAUUAAAAAGUUGGAAAGAACUGACCGGGCGCGGUGGCUCACGCCUGUAAUCUCAGCACUUUGGGAGGCGGAGGCGGGCGGAUCACAAGGUCAAGAGAUCGAGACCACGGUGAAACCCCGUCUCUACUAAAAAUACAAAAAAAAAAAAAUCAGCCGAGCUCGGUGGCUGGCACCUAUAGUCCCAGCUACUUGGGAGGCUGAGGCAGGAGAAUGGCGUGAACCCACGAGGCGGAGCUUGCAGUGAGCUAAUACCGCGUCACUGCACUCCAGCCUAGGUGACAGAGGAA